GGGUUGUGAGGUUAAGCGACUAAGCGUACACGGUGGAUGCCCUGGCAGUCAGAGGCGAUGAAGGACGUGCUAAUCUGCGAUAAGCGUCGGUAAGGUGAUAUGAACCGUUAUAACCGGCGAUUUCCGAAUGGGGAAACCCAGUGUGUUUCGACACACUAUCAUUAACUGAAUCCAUAGGUUAAUGAGGCGAACCGGGGGAACUGAAACAUCUAAGUACCCCGAGGAAAAGAAAUCAACCGAGAUUCCCCCAGUAGCGGCGAGCGAACGGGGAGGAGCCCAGAGCCUGAAUCAGUGUGUGUGUUAGUGGAAGCGUCUGGAAAGGCGCGCGAUACAGGGUGACAGCCCCGUACACAAAAAUGCACAUGCUGUGAGCUCGAUGAGUAGGGCGGGACACGUGGUAUCCUGUCUGAAUAUGGGGGGACCAUCCUCCAAGGCUAAAUACUCCUGACUGACCGAUAGUGAACCAGUACCGUGAGGGAAAGGCGAAAAGAACCCCGGCGAGGGGAGUGAAAAAGAACCUGAAACCGUGUACGUACAAGCAGUGGGAGCACGCUUCGGCGUGUGACUGCGUACCUUUUGUAUAAUGGGUCAGCGACUUAUAUUCUGUAGCAAGGUUAACCGAAUAGGGGAGCCGAAGGGAAACCGAGUCUUAACUGGGCGUUAAGUUGCAGGGUAUAGACCCGAAACCCGGUGAUCUAGCCAUGGGCAGGUUGAAGGUUGGGUAACACUAACUGGAGGACCGAACCGACUAAUGUUGAAAAAUUAGCGGAUGACUUGUGGCUGGGGGUGAAAGGCCAAUCAAACCGGGAGAUAGCUGGUUCUCCCCGAAAGCUAUUUAGGUAGCGCCUCGUGAAUUCAUCUCCGGGGGUAGAGCACUGUUUCGGCAAGGGGGUCAUCCCGACUUACCAACCCGAUGCAAACUGCGAAUACCGGAGAAUGUUAUCACGGGAGACACACGGCGGGUGCUAACGUCCGUCGUGAAGAGGGAAACAACCCAGACCGCCAGCUAAGGUCCCAAAGUCAUGGUUAAGUGGGAAACGAUGUGGGAAGGCCCAGACAGCCAGGAUGUUGGCUUAGAAGCAGCCAUCAUUUAAAGAAAGCGUAAUAGCUCACUGGUCGAGUCGGCCUGCGCGGAAGAUGUAACGGGGCUAAACCAUGCACCGAAGCUGCGGCAGCGACACUAUGUGUUGUUGGGUAGGGGAGCGUUCUGUAAGCCUGUGAAGGUGUACUGUGAGGUAUGCUGGAGGUAUCAGAAGUGCGAAUGCUGACAUAAGUAACGAUAAAGCGGGUGAAAAGCCCGCUCGCCGGAAGACCAAGGGUUCCUGUCCAACGUUAAUCGGGGCAGGGUGAGUCGACCCCUAAGGCGAGGCCGAAAGGCGUAGUCGAUGGGAAACAGGUUAAUAUUCCUGUACUUGGUGUUACUGCGAAGGGGGGACGGAGAAGGCUAUGUUGGCCGGGCGACGGUUGUCCCGGUUUAAGCGUGUAGGCUGGUUUUCCAGGCAAAUCCGGAAAAUCAAGGCUGAGGCGUGAUGACGAGGCACUACGGUGCUGAAGCAACAAAUGCCCUGCUUCCAGGAAAAGCCUCUAAGCAUCAGGUAACAUCAAAUCGUACCCCAAACCGACACAGGUGGUCAGGUAGAGAAUACCAAGGCGCUUGAGAGAACUCGGGUGAAGGAACUAGGCAAAAUGGUGCCGUAACUUCGGGAGAAGGCACGCUGAUAUGUAGGUGAAGUCCCUCGCGGAUGGAGCUGAAAUCAGUCGAAGAUACCAGCUGGCUGCAACUGUUUAUUAAAAACACAGCACUGUGCAAACACGAAAGUGGACGUAUACGGUGUGACGCCUGCCCGGUGCCGGAAGGUUAAUUGAUGGGGUCAGCGCAAGCGAAGCUCUUGAUCGAAGCCCCGGUAAACGGCGGCCGUAACUAUAACGGUCCUAAGGUAGCGAAAUUCCUUGUCGGGUAAGUUCCGACCUGCACGAAUGGCGUAAUGAUGGCCAGGCUGUCUCCACCCGAGACUCAGUGAAAUUGAACUCGCUGUGAAGAUGCAGUGUACCCGCGGCAAGACGGAAAGACCCCGUGAACCUUUACUAUAGCUUGACACUGAACAUUGAGCCUUGAUGUGUAGGAUAGGUGGGAGGCUUUGAAGUGUGGACGCCAGUCUGCAUGGAGCCGACCUUGAAAUACCACCCUUUAAUGUUUGAUGUUCUAACGUUGACCCGUAAUCCGGGUUGCGGACAGUGUCUGGUGGGUAGUUUGACUGGGGCGGUCUCCUCCUAAAGAGUAACGGAGGAGCACGAAGGUUGGCUAAUCCUGGUCGGACAUCAGGAGGUUAGUGCAAUGGCAUAAGCCAGCUUGACUGCGAGCGUGACGGCGCGAGCAGGUGCGAAAGCAGGUCAUAGUGAUCCGGUGGUUCUGAAUGGAAGGGCCAUCGCUCAACGGAUAAAAGGUACUCCGGGGAUAACAGGCUGAUACCGCCCAAGAGUUCAUAUCGACGGCGGUGUUUGGCACCUCGAUGUCGGCUCAUCACAUCCUGGGGCUGAAGUAGGUCCCAAGGGUAUGGCUGUUCGCCAUUUAAAGUGGUACGCGAGCUGGGUUUAGAACGUCGUGAGACAGUUCGGUCCCUAUCUGCCGUGGGCGCUGGAGAACUGAGGGGGGCUGCUCCUAGUACGAGAGGACCGGAGUGGACGCAUCACUGGUGUUCGGGUUGUCAUGCCAAUGGCACUGCCCGGUAGCUAAAUGCGGAAGAGAUAAGUGCUGAAAGCAUCUAAGCACGAAACUUGCCCCGAGAUGAGUUCUCCCUGACCCUUUAAGGGUCCUGAAGGAACGUUGAAGACGACGACGUUGAUAGGCCGGGUGUGUAAGCGCAGCGAUGCGUUGAGCUAACCGGUACUAAUGAACCGUGAGGCUUAACCUUACAACGCCGAAG
rnacentral:rRNA from 1 species